AGGGCGGGCGAUACCACCGGCCGCCAUUCCCCGCUCCUUGGAAGUGCUGAGGGCGGCCCGGCGGUUCCCAUGGUGACCCGGCUGCCGUCAGGCGCGGCGGCCGCGCUUUGCGGCGAUGCGUCCCGGCUCCGGGACAAGGAGCAGGGAGCUGGUGGUGGAAUUGCCUCUCUGUCCGUGUGCUGAGCUCCGGCUGCAGGGACUGUCAGGCAUUGUUGGCUGUGGUGGAAUUGCCUCUCUGUCCGUGUGCUGAGCUCUGGCUGCAGGGACUGUCAGGCGUUGUUGGUUGUGAGUUCGUGGGGUUCUCCCUGGGUAGUUUAUAGGGUGGUGGAAUUGCCUCUCUGUCCAUGUGCUGAGCUCCAGCUGCAGGGACUGUCAGACAUUGUUGGCUCUGUUGCCUGGUGUCAUUUCCCUGCCUGAGCUGGCUGUGGGUUGGUGUGGGACGCGAGGCCGGAGAGAGCGAGCGGAGGAGCCUCGGGCUGGAGAGGGGCAGGAGAAAGGCCCUGUGGGCAAAGGGACGUCCCUGUGUGCCCAGGGCCCUGCAGGGGACAGGAUGGACACUCUGGGGUCACUCUGAGGGGCAUCUCCGAGGGCUCUUGCUUUAGGGCCACUGAGGGAAGAUUGCCCCGGCUUCAACAGUGCUGCUGGCUGCCGGCCUCCGGCUGGAAGGGCAGGGAUUUGGGGUGGGCGGGACACACGUGGGGGGCACGUGGCAGCUCUAGGAGGUGGGCCCUGGGAAUGGCUGCCCGUGCUGGUCCACAAACACAAGGUGCCUGCAUUCCCAAGUGCCAGCAGCGUCAGCAUAAAAGAGGAGAUUCAUUUUCCGGGAAUUACAUCGCUGGCCCUCAGAAGGGGUUUGGGGUGUUUUGGGCAGCAUCAGCGCGGGGCUCAGUUCUGAACUGGGGCAAACCCUGUCCACGCUGCGGGUGCCGUCCUGGGCCCAGGCCAGAGGGGCUGCGGUUGCCAGCUGCUCCCCGUGUCCGUGCCGAGCCAGCGUCCCAGGGGCACAACAGGCGGCGCCGACACUUCCGAGGGAAGAGUUUUCUCUCUGUGGGAAGCCGGGAUUUC